rnacentral:rRNA from 1 species
AUUGAACGCUGGCGGCAGGCCUAACACAUGCAAGUCGAGCGGAUGAGUGGAGCUUGCUCCAUGAUUCAGCGGCGGACGGGUGAGUAAUGCCUAGGAAUCUGCCUGGUAGUGGGGGACAACGUUUCGAAAGGAACGCUAAUACCGCAUACGUCCUACGGGAGAAAGCAGGGGACCUUCGGGCCUUGCGCUAUCAGAUGAGCCUAGGUCGGAUUAGCUAGUAGGUGAGGUAAUGGCUCACCUAGGCGACGAUCCGUAACUGGUCUGAGAGGAUGAUCAGUCACACUGGAACUGAGACAACGGUCCAGAACUCCUACGGGAGGCAGCA